UAGGGAAUCUUCCACAAUGGACGCAAGUCUGAUGGAGCAACGCCGCGUGAGUGAAGAAGGUUUUCGGAUCGUAAAGCUCUGUUGUUGGUGAAGAAGGAUAGAGGUAGUAACUGGCCUUUAUUUGACGGUAAUCAACCAGAAAGUCACGGCUAACUACGUGCCAGCAGCCGCGGUAAUACGUAGGUGGCAAGCGUUGUCCGGAUUUAUUGGGCGUAAAGCGAGCGCAGGCGGAAGAAUAAGUCUGAUGUGAAAGCCCUCGGCUUAACCGAGGAACUGCAUCGGAAACUGUUUUUCUUGAGUGCAGAAGAGGAGAGUGGAACUCCAUGUGUAGCGGUGGAAUGCGUAGAAAUAUGGAAGAACACCAGUGGCGAAGGCGACUCUCUGGUCUGCAACUGACGCUGAGGCUCGAAAGCAUGGGUAGCGAACAGG
rnacentral:rRNA from 1 species